rnacentral:rRNA from 1 species
GACGAACGCUGGCGGCGUGCUUAACACAUGCAAGUCGAACGGAAAGGCCCUGCCUUUGUGGGGUGCUCGAGUGGCGAACGGGUGAGUAACACGUGAGUAACCUGCCCUUGACUUUGGGAUAACUUCAGGAAACUGGGGCUAAUACCGGAUAGGAGCUCCUGCUGCAGGGUGGGGGUGGGAAAGUUUCGGCGGUUGGGGGUGGACUCGCGGCUUAUCAGCUUGUUGGUGGGGUAGUGGCUUACCAAGGCUUUGACGGGUAGCCGGCCUGAGAGGGUGACCGGCCACAUUAGGACUGAGAUACGGCCCAGACUCCUCCCGGAGGCAGCAGUGGGGAGUAUUGCACAAUGGGCGGAAGCCUGAUGCAGCAACGCCGCGUGCGGGAUGACGGCCUUCGCGUUGUAAUCCGCUGUCGCCUGUGACGAAGCGUGAAUGACGGUAAUGGGUAAAGAAGCACCGGCUAACUCCGUG